CUCUUGAGUAUAACAAACCUUUAAGUGGUUCAAGAGAUAAGUAAAAAGAAAUUUUGAAACUAAUUGUUA
rnacentral:ribozyme from 1 species